GUGAAAACCCUCCAACAGCAGCUAGCCAUUAGAAGCAUACAAACACCUCUGCAAGUGCAAAUUUUCUUAUGAUUCUGAGAAUAUUCUCAGCUUCCAUGAUGCAGCCGACUCUCUUGUUGGGGGUCACUGAACUCUCAGUACAAGAUUCUUUGUACUAGAAAAGAAUCUGAAGUUAAAAGGUAGUAACUUUUCCAAGUCACCAACAAGCUUUUCCAAAAAAGAAUUUGAUAAAAGCAAAACCUGGUAUGAAGCGAAAACUCAAAUAUUUUUCUUUGUAAUUGAGAAGAAUCCCUAGUAG
rnacentral:misc_RNA from 1 species